rnacentral:rRNA from 1 species
UACGUAGGGUGCAAGCGUUAUCCGGAAUUACUGGGCGUAAAGCGUGCGCAGGCGGUUAUGCAAGACAGAUGUGAAAUCCCCCGGGCUUAACUGGGAACCGCAUUUGUGACUGCAUCGCUGGAGUGCGGCAGAGGGGGAUGGAAUUCCGCGUGUAGCAGUGAAAUGCGUAGAGAUGUGGAGGAAUACCGAUGGCGAAGGCAGCCUCCUGGGCCAACACUGACGCUCAUGCACGAAAGCGUGGGGAGCAAACAGG